AUUGAUUUCCUUUGAAGAUCUGCUGCAAUUGAGAUUCAUUGGUCAGGCUGCUGAGAUACAGAAAUUGCAAACCAUGGUAUAUUGAGAUGAUUUCUUUGGAGCAAUUCUUGACAACAUUUGUAGUUGA